rnacentral:rRNA from 1 species
UACGUAGGGGGCAAGCGUUGUCCGGAUUUAUUGGGCGUAAAGAGCGUGUAGGCGGUUCGGUAGGUCCGUUGUGAAAACUCGAGGCUCAACCUCGAGACGCCGAUGGAAACCCCCGAACUAGAGUCCGGAAGAGGAGAAUGGAAUUCCUGGUGUAGCGGUGAAAUGCGCAGAUAUCAGGAGGAACACCGGUGGCGAAGGCGGUUCUCUGGGCCUUACCUGACACUGAGGAGCGAAAGCGUGGGGAGCGAACAGG